CUUACACUACAUAGCAAGAUCCUAUUUCAAACAAACAAAAACAACCAAAUAUCUGAAAUCCAAAAUGCUCCAAAAUUGGAAGCUCCAUCCUGAUGCCAUAAGUAAAAAGCUCCAUCCCAACCUCAGGGGCAGAGGGAGUCAAAAUGCAGGUGCCCUACAUGUCGUAUAAAUGACCUUCAGGCUGUGAGCAUCAGGUGUGCCUGAAACAUGGGAGAAUGUCUCACUGAGGGUCCCAGCCCCAGGUCCAGUCCAGCCUCAUCUCGUCCCAAACAUGUGGAAACAUCUGGGCUGCACACCGCUCCUGCUCCCAGGUGCUUCAGCGAGGGGACGUGGCCCGCGUCAGAGAGCACCAGGAGGGAUGAGACCAUGGGGGGCGGCUGCCGUUCUGCUAGCGCCUCUGCCGUGUUCCCAUUGAGUCACCAGGGAGGGUUGAAUGCAUAGGACUUCAGGGCCAUGGCGAACCCCGCAGACAUCAACCUGGGGUCAGUCCUGCUGUGACGGAGGCGGCGUCCUCAGCACCAUCCUCCCGGGCCGGUGUCCACGCCGAGGCCCUCCCAGGCUUGUCUUCUCAGUUUCAGCUCAGGAUGAGGAAACGCAGGGUCCGGGUGACUUAGGGAGGGGGGCUGCUUUCUUCCUCUCAGAUUCGGUCAGGGAGCAGCGCCUUUACUGAUGACGUCCCAUCGUGAAAGCGACAGGACCAGAUUCUGUGAUUUUAUGUAACCGAGAAAGGAAAAGGCUGCCGAAUCCUUGCUGUCAUGGGCAUAAACACACUGAGAUGUUCAAAGUGAAAAGCAGAGCUGAAAGUCAGUACAGAAGCUGUUUAAAGUA